GGAGAGGUGGGUGAGUGGCUGAAACCAGCUCCCUGCUAAGGAGCCGUACGUACUGCGUACCGAGGGUUCGAAUCCCUCCCUCUCCGCCA
rnacentral:tRNA from 1 species